rnacentral:rRNA from 1 species
UACGUAGGGGGCAAGCGUUGUCCGGAUUUAUUGGGCGUAAAGAGCGUGUAGGCGGCCAGAUAAGUCCGCUGUGAAAUCUCGAGGCUCAACUUCGAGCUGUCGGUGGAACUGUCUGGCUAGAGUCCGGAAGAGGAGAAUGGAAUUCCUGGUGUAGCGGUGGAAUGCGCAGAUAUCAGGAGGAACACCAAUAGCGAAGGCAGCUCGCUGGGACGGUACUGACGCUAAGGCGCGAAAGCGUGGGGAGCGAACAGG